rnacentral:lncRNA from 1 species
CUUGUCCUGUGCGCUCUCUCCUCGCCUGCCUCGUGGCUGGACACCGCAUUUCCGCUCUGUGUAUCAGCACAUGAUACGUGGCCUUGACGUUUUCCAUCCCAGACAAUCCUAUGCAGCAACUAGUUGAAAACAAAGCGAAGCUCUAGGGAGCUUGAAGAAACAUCUCUGCUCUCCAGUUGUUCACUGCGAGUUAAUGACAGAGAUUCGUGGCUUUGAGAAACUGAUAAGUUAUUUCUCCACUGGUGAAGUAAGCCAAUUCAAGCCAGAUUAGUAUAUAUAUAGGUUUAUCGGGAAGCUGCUUUUGUGCCGAUGAGUUCACUGGCCCUAGGAAGGAGGCCAGGGAAGUCGCCAUGAGAAGGGAGACAGAGGGGAGGGAGAAGAGAAAGAGAGAAGGAAAA